rnacentral:rRNA from 1 species
AAUUGGAGGGCAAGUCUGGUGCCAGCAGCCGCGGUAAUUCCAGCUCCAAUAGCGUAUAUUAAAGUUGUUGCAGUUAAAAAGCUCGUAGUUGAAUUUCGGGAUCAAUAUUUCGGUCAUGCCGUUGGUAUGCACUGUUAUCAUUGAUUUCUCACCUUCUAAAGAACCGUAAUGCCAUUAAUUUGGUGUUACGGGGAAUUAGGACUGUUACCUUGAAAAAAUUAGAGUGUUUAAAGCAGGCUCACGCUUGAAUACAUUAGCAUGGAAUAAUGAAAUAGGACAUCCGAUUCUAUUUUGUUGGUUUCUAGGAUCGAUGUAAUGAUUAAUAGGGAUAGUUGGGGGCAUUAGUAUUCAAUUGUCAGAGGUGAAAUUCUUGGAUUUAUUGAAGACUAACUACUGCGAAAGCAUUUGCCAAGGGUGUUUUCAUUAAUCAAGAACGAAAGUUAGGGGAUCGAAGACGAUCAGAUACCGUCGUAGUCUUAACCAUAAACUAUGCCGACUAGGGAUCGGAUGAUGUUAAUUUUUUAAUGACUCAUUCGGCGCCUUACGGGAAACCAAAGUGU